CACCGCCCGUCGCUACUACCGAUUGAAUGGUUCAGUGAGAUAAUCGGAUAGGUAACUCGGUAAGCAGCAAUGUUUACCAAGCAUACAUAGAAGACGAUCAAACUCAGUCAUUUAGAGGAAGUAAAAGUCGUAACAAGGUUUCCGUAGGUGAACCUGCGGAAG
rnacentral:ncRNA from 1 species